GUCUAUGGCCAUACCACCCUGAAAACGCCCGAUCUCGUCCGAUCUCGGAAGCUAAGCAGGGUCGGGCCUGGUUAGUACUUGGAUGGGAGAAAACACACUGUGGUACAGGUGAUGCUGUAGGAC
rnacentral:rRNA from 1 species